rnacentral:rRNA from 1 species
GUCCACGCCGUAAACGAUGAUUGCUAGUUGUCGGGCUGCAUGCAGUUCGGUGACGCAGCUAACGCAUUAAGCAAUCCGCCUGGGGAGUACGGUCGCAAGACUAAAACUCAAAUGAAUUGACGGGGGCCCGCACAAGCGGUGGAGCAUGUGGUUUAAUUCGAAGCAACGCGAAGAACCUUACCUGGUCUUGACAUCCUUCUGACCGGUCCUUAACCGGACCUUUCCUUCGGGACAGGAGUGACAGGUGGUGCAUGGUUGUCGU